rnacentral:misc_RNA from 1 species
UGGUAGACGCUGCGGACUUAAUUGGAUUGAGCCUUAGUAUGGAAACCUACUAAGCGAGAACUUUCAAAUUCAGGGAAACCCCGGAAUUAAAAAAAAGGGCAAUCCUGAGCCAAAUCCUGUUUUCGGAAAAGAAAGGUUCAGAAAAAAAAAAGGAAAGGAUAGGUACAGAGACUCGAUGGAAGCUGUUCUAACAAAUGGGGGCGGAAUAUUUCCACCAAAAUGUCCGAAAGGAUAAACCUAUCUAUUGAAUACCAUAGCAAAUGAUUAAUGAUAGACCAAAUCUCUAGAUAUUUUUUUUAUCUGAAAAAUAGAAGAAGAAGAGUUGGUGUAAAUUCAUUCGACAUUGAAGGAAAAAUAGAAUUUGUUUUCAUCAAAUCAUUCACUCCAUAGUCCGAUAAACCUUUUCUUUGAAAUUUAAAGAAUUGAUCAAUCGGACAAGAAUAAAGAUAGAGUCCACUUCUACGUGUCAAUACUGGCAACAAUUAAAUUUAUAGUAAGAGGAAAAUCCGUUGACUUUUAAAAUCGUGAGGGUUCAAGUCCCUCUAUCCCCAAACAAGCCUAUUUGCUUCCAAAAAUUUUUAUCCUAUCCUCUCCCUUUUGGUUUUUUUUUAUAAUUCUUUGACAACCGUAGUUGGGCCUAAAUGACUUUCUAUUCUCUUAUGUGAUAUAGAAUACACAUCUGAUUUGAGCAAAUAAUCCUGAUUUAAAUGAUUCACAAUCAAUAGCUUUACAAAUACUGAAACCUCAAAAGUAGUCUUUUUGAAGAUAAAAUAAAUUGAAAUUGAAGUAGUUGGAUAAAAAUUGAUAAUCCCACCCUUCCCGUUAAUUGACAUAGACCCCAGCCAUCGACUACAAUAAUAAAGAUUACUACGCUAAGAAUGGUCGGGAUAGCUCAG